UACGAAGGGGGCUAGCGUUGCUCGGAAUUACUGGGCGUAAAGCGCACGUAGGCGGCAUUGCAAGUCGGAUGUGAAAUCCCUCGGCUUAACCAAGGAAGUGCAUCCGAAACUGCUGUGCUUGAGUACGAAAGAGGAUCGCGGAAUUCCCGGUGUAGAGGUGAAAUUCGUAGAUAUCGGGAGGAACACCAGUGGCGAAGGCGGCGAUCUGGGUCGAUACUGACGCUGAGGUGCGAAAGCGUGGGGAGCAAACAGG
rnacentral:rRNA from 1 species